UCUGGAAAACUCUCUUUACGCUCUCUCUCUCUCUCUCUCUCUCUCUCUCUCUGAUCGGUUCUUCUCAUCGAUGUCAAUAAUCAUCUAACUUAAAACCCUAAAACAAAUCCAGUUUAAAACAUCGAUUUAUGUUCAUCAAAGUUGUUCAAUUUGUUAGUCGAUCUAUCUACUCAAGAUCUUUUGUCAGGGAGAGUAGUUCAGCCAUCACCUUUACCGAUCAUUGACAUGCGAUCAAAUAAAUCGGCCAUCAUCUUAGUGUAGAAUAAGAUGCAGAUUACAAAAUCAAAUUUCCCUCUUGAGAGAGCACAAACCCGUAAAGGUAGUCAAACUCGAUCGAUUGGUUAAUCAAAUUUCCCUCUUCCUCUGCGUUCAGCGGUAUGAACACUGGUCAAGACCAAGAUGGCCACAUCACAAUAUGAAGAUAAGUUUUUGCUAUUUUAGUAAAUAUGAUAGAAUGAUAUGUUAUUGACAUCAGAAUGAGGAAACUUGUUUUCUUCUGGAUAGUUUCACUCUUUAUAGGUAUUUUUGAAUAAUUAAUAAGAUCUAUACUCAAGCAAUUGCCUUUAUGUAAGCUAAUCGUGUCUUUACUUGUCAACAAAUCAAACGCGAUAAACAAAUAAUUAUUUACUCAAACGUAAACGUCACUAUUUCAUAUUAUAAUAAUUGUAUACUUAAUAUUUGAAAGACUAAUUUGUCUAUUUCAUUAUACAGUGUAAAUUGCGAGAUUAUUCUGACAUAUAAUUGUAACUGUAUUUGUUUGGACAGGUCUAAAGAUGUGUUGGUUUAAGUACUAACCUUUCCAAUAUCUGAAUGUGUUCAACACUUAAAAGAUAAGUGUAUCUAUUUGGGAUGCCAUGCUUUUGCAUAUAUGACUGAGAUAACUGAAACAUAAUUAUACUUUCAUCUAAUUUAAAUCUACAGAUUA